GGCAGGCGCGAAAACUUUNCAAUCCGGGAAAGCGCGAUAAGGGGACGCCGAGUGCCAGCAUCUUAUGUCGGCUGUUCCGCACGUAUAAAUCACAUGUGUUAGCAAGGGCCGGGCAAGACCGGUGCCAGCCGCCGCGGUAA
rnacentral:rRNA from 1 species